GAUGAACGCUGGCGGCGUGCCUAAUACAUGCAAGUCGAGCGAAUGGAUUAAGAGCUUGCUCUUAUGAAGUUAGCGGCGGACGGGUGAGUAACACGUGGGUAACCUGCCCAUAAGACUGGGAUAAUUCCGGGAAACCGGGGCUAAUACCGGAUAACAUUUUGAACCGCAUGGUUCGAAAUUGAAAGGCGGCUUCGGCUGUCACUUAUGGAUGGACCCGCGUCGCAUGAGCUAGUUGGUGAGGUAACGGCUCACCAAGGAAGAGAUGCGUAGCCGGCCUGGGAGGGUGAUCGGCACCACUGGGACUGAGACACGGCCCAGCCUCCUACGGGAGGCAGCAGUAGGGAAUCUUCCGAAAUGGACGAAAGUCUGACGGAGCAACGCCGCGUGAGUGAUGAAGGCUUUCGGGUCGUAAAACUCUGUUGUUAGGGAAGAACAAGUGCUAGUUGAAUAAGCUGGCACUUUGACGGUACCUAACCAGAAAGCCACGGCUAACUACGUGCCAGCCGCCGCCGUAA
rnacentral:rRNA from 1 species